AAGGGUUUAGCUUAAUUAAAGCGUUCGAUUUGCGUUCGAAGUAUGCAAGAUAAAAGCUUGUAAUUCUUA
rfam:Monodelphis domestica cont3.066819, whole genome shotgun sequence.